rnacentral:rRNA from 1 species
AACGAACGCUGGCGGCAUGCCUAACACAUGCAAGUCGAACGAGACCUUCGGGUCUAGUGGCGCACGGGUGCGUAACGCGUGGGAUCCUGCCCUUAGGUUCGGAAUAACUCCCCGAAAGGGGUGCUAAUACCGGAUAAUCUCUUCGGACCAAAGAUUUAUCGCCUUUGGAUGGGCCCGCGUUGGAUUAGCUAGUUGGUAGGGUAAAAGCCUACCAAGGCGACGAUCCAUAGCUGGUCUGAGAGGAUGAUCAGCCACACUGGGACUGAGACACGGCCCAGACUCCUACGGGAGGCAGCAGUGGGGAAUAUUGGACAAUGGGCGAAAGCCUGAUCCAGCAAUGCCGCGUGAGUGAUGAAGGCCUUAGGGUUGUAAAGCUCUUUUACCCGGGAUGAUAAUGACAGUACCGGGAGAAUAAGCUCCGGCUAACUCCGUG